GAUGAACGCUGGCGGCGUGCCUAAUACAUGCAAGUCGAGCGAACGGACGAGAAGCUUGCUUCUCUGAUGUUAGCGGCGGACGGGUGAGUAACCCGUGGAUAACCUACCUAUAAGACUGGGAUAACUUCGGGAAACCGGAGCUAAUACCGGAUAAUAUUUUGAACCGCAUGGUUCAAAAGUGUAAGACGGUCUUGCUGUCACUUAUAGAUGGAUCCGCGCUGCAUUAGCUAGUUGGGUAGGUAACGGCUUACCAAGGCAACGAUGCAUAGCCGACCUGAGAGAGUGAUCGGCCACACUGGAACUGAGACACGGUCCAGACUGCUACGGGGGGCAGCAGUAGGGAAUCUUCCGCAGUGGGCGAAGGCCUGACGGAGCAACGCCGCAUGAGUUGUGAAGGUCUUCGGAUCUUAAAACACUGUGAUUAGGGAAGAACAUAUGUUUAAGUAACAGAGCACAUCUUGACGGUACCUAAUCAGAAAGCCACGGCUAACUACGUG
rnacentral:rRNA from 1 species